CCUAUUGCACAAUUGGCGAAAGCCUGAUGCAGCACCGCCGCGUGAGUGAUUAAGGCCUUCGGGUCGUCAAGCUCUUUCAUCCGGGAUGAUAAUGCCAGUACCUGACAAACAAGCCCCGGCUCACUACGUGCCCGCCGCCGCGGUAAUACGUAGGUGGCGAGCGUUGUCCGGAAUUACUGGGCGUAAAGGAUGCGUAGGUGGAUACUUAAGUGGGAUGUGAAAUGCCCGGGCUCAACCCGGGAACUGCAUUCCAAACUGGGUAUCUAGAGUGCAGGAGAGGAAAGCGGAAUUCCUAGUGUAGCGGUGAAAUGCGUAGAUAUUAGGAGGAACACCAGUGGCGAAGGCGGCUUUCUGGACUGUAACUGACACUGAGGCAGGAAAGCGUGGGUAGCAAACAGG
rnacentral:rRNA from 1 species